CUGUACAAAAAGUAUACAUACUUUUAUUGUUGUUAAGAACACAAAGGUUAAGAGAAUACAUAGUCUCACCCUCACCUCAUAGUGUUUACAAGUUAAAAAUAUCUUGUUAUUGAUUGCUGCAUAGAAUUAACUUUUCUGUUAAAAUGGCAUUAAUUACUGCGUAAUUACAGUACUAAAAGAAAAAAUAUCUUUGAUUUGUGUAUACCUAUUACCGUACAGUUCUUAUUUUACAAAAUGUUACUUCUUUCCAAGAAACAUUUCAUAAUGUUGUCCAAAUCUUAAAUCUUUUGAAGGGCUGAUAAAUGUGUUAAAAUCUUUGUUGUUUUCACCAUGGGUAACAAUUAACCUAAAGGGUAGACAUAUUGAGUUAAAAUUUAAUAUGGUUGAAUCUGCCAUAAGAAGUAAAUUUCAAAUAAUUUUUUGAUUGGACUUCUGUAUGAGCUUUCGUAACGUUCGGUUGUGUGACAGUUCAGUGUGGAAGUGAUAAUUCAAAAAAAACGCAGGCGGCAAAAACAAAAUAGGAACUACAUAAUAGAGAAAAACAAAAACAAGAAGGACAAGGACCACAUAGGACCAAAAAAAAAAUAGAUCUGAAGUUGACAGGACACCUGGUUGUGCAUUGCCUUGAGCAAGACGCGCAUAACCAAUAACAUGUACUGGGUAAAUGAUUAAAAAAAAAUCGAAACCCAAAAAAAAAG